rnacentral:misc_RNA from 1 species
CUGCCGUAACAAGGUUUCCGUAGGUGAACCUGCGGAAGGAUCAUUAAAAGUGAUUGGGUUAUACAUUUCAUGUAUCAACUGAUUAACCCAAUUCCGAGUACCUUGCCUGUUGCUUCCAUGGGGCCCUGACCUAGGUCACUCUUGUGAUGUGAAACCCAAAGAGAGUCCCCAUGGGAGGUAAAUCAUUAAGUUCAUGUAUCCAAUGUCUUCUGUCUGAACUGUUUAUAACAAAUGUUAAAA